rnacentral:rRNA from 1 species
UACAGAGGGUGCUAGCGUUGUUCGGAAUCAUUGGGCGUAAAGGGCGUGUAGGCGGUUUGCUAAGUCAUGUGUGAAAUCCCUCGACUUAACCGGGGAACGACGCAUGAAACUGGCAAGCUAGAGUACCAAAGAGGGGGGUGGAAUUCCCGGUGUAGCGGUGGAAAUGCGCAGAUAUCAGGAAGAACACCCGUGGCGAAGGCGGCUCUCUGGAACGCAACUGACGCUGAGACGCGAAAGCGUGGGGAGCAAACAGG